rnacentral:rRNA from 1 species
CAGUCGCCGCGUAAUACGAAGGGGGCUAGCGUUGUUCGGAAUUACUGGGCGUAAAGGGCGCGUAGGCGGCCAUUCAAGUCAGAUGUGAAAGCCCUGGGCUCAACCUAGGAAUUGCAUUUGAUACUGUUUGGCUUGAGUUCGGGAGAGGUGAGUGGAAUUCCCAGUGUAAAGGUGAAAUUCGUAGGUAUUGGGAAGAACACCAGUGGCGAAGGCGGCUCACUGGACCGACACUGACGCUGAGGCGCGAAAGCGUGGGGAGCAAACAGGAUUAGAUACCCCCGUAGUCCCUGUCUCUUAUACA